rnacentral:rRNA from 1 species
CAGUCGCCACGGUAAUACAGAGGGUGCAAGCGUUAAUCGGAAUUACUGGGCGUAAAGCGCGCGUAGGUGGUUCGCCAAGUUGGAUGUGAAAUCCCCGGGCUCAACCUGGGAACUGCAUCCAAAACUGGCGAGCUAGAGUAUGGUAGAGGGUGGUGGAAUUUCCUGUGUAGCGGUGAAAUGCGUAGAUAUAGGAAGGAACAUCAGUGGCGAAGGCGACCACCUGGACUGAUACUGACACUGAGGUGCGAAAGCGUGGGGAGCAAACAGGAUUAGAUACCCGUGUAGUCCCUGUCUCUUAUAC